rnacentral:tRNA from 1 species
UGUUUAGGAAAUGGUGUAAUGGAAGCACUUAGAAUUUUGAGUUCUAAAAUAAGGGUUCAAGUCCUUUUUUCCUA